rnacentral:rRNA from 1 species
UACGUAGGGAGCUAGCGUUGUCCGGAAUCAUUGGGCGUAAAGAGCGUGUAGGCGGCCCGGUAAGUCCGCUGUAAAAGUCAAAGGCUCAACCUUUGAAUGUCAGUGGAUACUGCCGGGCUAGAGUCCGGAAGAGGCGAGUGGAACUCCUGGUGUAGCGGUGGAAUGCGCAGAUAUCAGGAAGAACACCAACGGCGAAGGCAGCUCGCUGGGACGGUACUGACGCUGAGACGCGAAAGCGUGGGGAGCGAACAGG